CCUACGGGAGGCAGCAGUGAGGAAUAUUGCGCAAUGGGGGCAACCCUGACGCAGCCACGCCGCGUGCCGGAUGAAGGUCCUAUGGAUCGUAAACGGCUUUUACGGGGGAAGAACGGACUGGUUUCGACCGGUCGUGACGGUACCCUGAGAAUAAGCACCGGCUAACUCCGUGCCAGCAGCCGCGGUAAUACGGAGGAUGCAAGCGUUGUCCGGAAUCAUUGGGUGUAAAGGGUGCGUAGGCGGAAAUUUAAGUUUGGGGUGAAAUCUUGCGGCUCAACCGUAAAAUGGCCUUGGAUACUGGAUUUCUUGAGUGUAACAGAGGCCGGUAGAAUUCGUGGUGUAGCGGUGAAAUGCAUAGAUAUCACGAAGAAUACCAGUGGCGAAGGCGGCCGGCUGGGUUACAACUGACGCUGAGGCACGAGAGCGUGGGGAGCGAACAGGAUUAGAUACCCUGGUAGUCCACGCUGUAAACGAUGGAUACUAGGUGUUGGCCCCGGUUAGGCCGGGGGCAGUGCCGCAGCUAACGCAUUAAGUAUCCCACCUGGGGAGUACGUUCGCAAGAAUGAAACUCAAAGGAAUUGACGGGGGCCCGCACAAGCGGUGGAGCAUGUGGCUUAAUUCGAUGCAACGCGAAGAACCUUAC
rnacentral:rRNA from 1 species